rnacentral:rRNA from 1 species
GACGAACGCUGGCGGCGUGCCUAAUACAUGCAAGUAGAACGCUGAAGGAGGAGCUUGCUUCUCUGGAUGAGUUGCGAACGGGUGAGUAACGCGUAGGUAACCUGCCUGGUAGCGGGGGAUAACUAUUGGAAACGAUAGCUAAUACCGCAUAAGAGUAGAUGUUGCAUGACAUUUGCUUAAAAGGUGCAAUUGCAUCACUACCAGAUGGACCUGCGUUGUAUUAGCUAGUUGGUGAGGUAACGGCUCACCAAGGCGACGAUACAUAGCCGACCUGAGAGGGUGAUCGGCCACACUGGGACUGAGACACGGCCCAGACUCCUACGGGAGGCAGCAGUAGGGAAUCUUCGGCAAUGGACGGAAGUCUGACCGAGCAAACGCCGCGUGAGUGAAGAAGGUUUUCGGAUCGUAAAAGCUUC